GAAAUGCGAUAAGUAAUGUGAAUUGCAGAAUUCAGUGAAUCAUCGAAUCUUUGAACGCACCUUGCGCUCAUUGGUAUUCCUUGGAGUAUGCCUGUUUGAGUAUCAUGAAAUCUUCAAAGUAAAUCUUUUGUUAACUCAAUUGGUUUCUACUUUGGUAUUGGAGGUCUUUGCAGCUUCACACCUGCUCCUCUUUGUUCAUUAGCUGGAUCUCAGUGUUAUGCUUGGUUCCACUCGGCGUGAUAAGUUAUCUAUCGCUGAGGACACUGUAAAAGGUGGCCAAGGUAAAUGCAGAUGAACCGCUUCUAAUAGUCCAUUGACUUGGACAAUACUUUUAUGAUCUGAUCUCAAAUCAGGUAGGACUACCCGCUGAACUUAAGC
rnacentral:misc_RNA from 1 species